rnacentral:tRNA from 1 species
GGGCUCGUAGCUCAGCUCGAAGCGAAGCAUGCUUCGCAUGUUUCAGUACGCUUCGCUUCCUGAAUUCCCUCCGCCCCCUAUAGGCGAAGGUCGCGAGUUCAAAUCUCGCCGGGCCCG